CAUAGUAGGUACUCAAUAAAUAUGAAAAAGAGAAAGGCAACACAGUCAUUAAGAAAAACUUUGGCCAGUUUCUUCCAUAUCUCUGGGUCUUAUUUUUUGCCUAGCCUUUCUAUAAAGUUCUACAGAGGCAGAGGGUAGUGAUGUCAACCCACGCUAUCUUGAAAGCCCUCGAGGGAUCACGGAUAGCAUUAACCAUACUCUAAGGGCAGGUAGCUAAGGAGAUGGGAAGUUUUCCCAAAUCUCAAGGGGCAGCCUCCCAACCCCAUCCAGGAGUCCUGUGCUUCCCGCCCUUAUGGGGCAGAAGCAAUCGUGGCAGCCUCCCCAGGGGCUCAGCUCAUUGGGAGGUUAGGCUUCCCAAAGAGCUGCACCAACUGUGAACACUUACCCUACAGAAGCUGAUGCAGAAAGUGAGAUAGCAGCUUGGUGGUGGUGUGGGGUGGAGGGCAGCAAAGCCAGACCCCAGCACUGAGACUGCUGCCGUAUCUUGUUCCUCCUACAGCCCUUCCAGCGUAACCAGCCUUGUGGAAGCUGCUGUGCAGGAAGCCAGGGCAUGAUCCACCCUUGAACUUGCCAUCCAACUGGGAGGGCCAGAUGUACCCUUGAGAUCUGAUGAGUAAGAGACGACUUCACAAAGCAUGUGCAUGUGCUGGAACAGAGGGCAGGCAUACUCAAAGCUGAGAAGCCAAGAGGCAGAACAGAGUGGGACGGCGCCUGGGCAGACAGGCAAACAUGAAGAGCUGCAUUUUGGCUCGGAUCCCCCAUCGCCCUGCCUGCAGGACCAGCUCACAGUCUGCAGUUUGGCAAUUUCUCCCAGUCCCGAGAAAAGGCCUGCUGUUCCUUUGGCUGGAUUCCUGCUCUCAGACCUCCAGAGGCAGUGCUGGGGAGCAUGGAGGCAGGCCUGACACCUGCAGGCCUGUGAGCUGGUCUGAUGUGCAUGGCCCACUAAGCAGAUGUCACUUCCUCCCCAGAGGCAGCAGCAUUUUGGAGUCAGAAACUGUCAUCCACCCAGGUUCUCCCUUGACAAGAGGGCAACAGAGAUGGAGAGAACAGAGGCAGAAUCUGAACUCCAGGGGACCUCGGAAACCCUCCCAGGUGUACCCCCUCCUCCUCUAGAUGAGGACACAGCCCCAGGGAGGGGAUGGAUAUGUCCUGGGUACAGGGAGCAGUGUGUCUGGAGCUGAGAGCCAUGUGGAGGCUGCUCUGGGAGGUUCUGAACGUUCACCAGGGGAAGGAGACUUCUUCCCUGGGUGGGGGCCCGAAGGCAGGAGCUCAGGUUCUCAGUGAUUCCCACUGUGGGAGCCCCACGCUGUCAAGGGCCCACCUUCUCACACAUGCAGUCCUGGUGGCUUAGCUGCUGCCACCGGGGGGGGAGGCACUGAAGCAGCCUCACUUAGCCACGAUAUGGGAGGCUGGAGGCCAUGAAAAAGGGCCUUUCAGGAGAGGAGCUCCCGGCUGGGCACACUGGCUUUUGCCUAUAAUCCCAGCCCUGUCCAGCAGUAAUUCCUAAGCCCUGUCCAGCAGUACAGACUGU